UACGUAGGGUGCGAGCGUUAAUCGGAAUUACUGGGCGUAAAGCGUGCGCAGGCGGUUCGUUAAGUCAGCUGUGAAAGCCCCGGGCUCAACCUGGGAAUUGCGGUUGAAACUGGCGAACUAGAAUCUGGCAGAGGGGGGUGGAAUUCCACGUGUAGCAGUGAAAUGCGUAGAGAUGUGGAGGAACACCGAUGGCGAAGGCAGCCCCCUGGGCCAACACUGACGCUCAUGCACGAAAGCGUGGGGAGCAAACAGG
rnacentral:rRNA from 1 species